rnacentral:rRNA from 1 species
AGGUAAGCUACUAAGAGCGAAUGGUGGAUGCCUUGACUGGUAAAGGCGAUGAAGGACGUACUAGACUGCGAUAAGCUACGGGGAGCUGUCAAGAAGCUUUGAUCCGUAGAUUUCCGAAUGGGGCAACCCAAUGUAUAGAGAUAUACAUUACCUAUAUAGGAGCGAACGAGGGGAAUUGAAACAUCUUAGUACCCUCAGGAAAAGAAAUCAAUAGAGAUUGCGUCAGUAGCGGCGAGCGAAAGCGCAAGAGGGCAAACCCAGUGCUUGCACUGGGGGUUGUAGGACUGCAAUGUGCAAGAGGUGAGUUUAGCAGAACAUUCUGGAAAGUAUAGCCAUAGAGGGUGAUAGUCCCGUAUGCGAAAAACAAACCUUAGCUAGCAGUAUCCUGAGUAGGGCGGGACACGAGAAAUCCUGUCUGAAGCUGGGUCGACCACGAUCCAACCCUAAAUACUAAUACCAGAUCGAUAGUGCACAAGUACCGUGAGGGAAAGGUGAAAAGAACUGAGGUGAUCAGAGUGAAAUAGAACCUGAAACCAUUUGCUUACAAUCAUUCAGAGCCCUAUGUAGCAAUACAGGGUGAUGGACUGCCUUUUGCAUAAUGAGCCUGCGAGUUGUGGUGUCUGGCAAGGUUAAGCAAACGCGAAGCCGUAGCGAAAGCGAGUCUGAAUAGGGCGCUUAGUCAGAUGCUGCAGACCCGAAACGAAGUGAUCUAUCCAUGAGCAAGUUGAAGCUAGUGUAAGAACUAGUGGAGGACUGAACCCAUAGGCGUUGAAAAGCCCCGGGAUGACUUGUGGAUAGGGGUGAAAGGCCAAUCAAACUUCGUGAUAGCUGGUUCUCUCCGAAAUAUAUUUAGGUAUAGCGUUGUGUCGUAAUAUAAGGGGGUAGAGCACUGAAUGGGCUAGGGCAUACACCAAUGUACCAAACCCUAUCAAACUCCGAAUACCUUAUAUGUAAUCACAGCAGUCAGGCGGCGAGUGAUAAAAUCCGUCGUCAAGAGGGAAACAACCCAGACUACCAGCUAAGGUCCCUAAAUCUUACUUAAGUGGAAAACGAUGUGAAGUUACUUAAACAACCAGGAGGUUGGCUUAGAAGCAGCCAUCCUUUAAAGAAAGCGUAAUAGCUCACUGGUCUAGUGAUUUUGCGCGGAAAAUAUAACGGGGCUAAAGUAAGUACCGAAGCUGUAGACUUGCGCACAACUUAGAUUAUUUAAGUUUAGAAUAUGAGAAACUAAGUUAUAUGUUUAGUUAUAUUUUUACUGAUUUUUAUAGAGUAAAGAUAGAAAUAAAACUUAGUAAAAUCAGUAAAAAUAUUCUUAGACUAAAGUUAAGUAGUUUAAGUUGUGUGCAAGUGGUAGGAGAGCGUUCUAUUUGCGUCGAAGGUAUACCGGUAAGGAGUGCUGGAGCGAAUAGAAGUGAGCAUGCAGGCAUGAGUAGCGAUAAUUAAUGUGAGAAUCAUUAACGCCGUAAACCCAAGGUUUCCUACGCGAUGCUCGUCAUCGUAGGGUUAGUCGGGUCCUAAGUCGAGUCCGAAAGGGGUAGACGAUGGCAAAUUGGUUAAUAUUCCAAUACCAACAUUAGUGUGCGAUGGAAGGACGCUUAGGGCUAAGGGGGCUAGCGGAUGGAAGUGCUAGUCUAAGGUCGUAGGAGGUUAUACAGGCAAAUCCGUAUAACAAUACUCCGAGAACUGAAAGGCUUUUUGAAGUCUUCGGAUGGAUAGAAGAACCCCUGAUGCCGUCGAGCCAAGAAAAGUUUCUAAGUUUAGCUAAUGUUGCCCGUACCGUAAACCGACACAGGUGGGUGGGAUGAGUAUUCUAAGGCGCGUGGAAGAACUCUCUUUAAGGAACUCUGCAAAAUAGCACCGUAUCUUCGGUAUAAGGUGUGGUUAGCCUUGUAUUAGGAUUUACUCCGAAAGCAA